rnacentral:rRNA from 1 species
UACGUAGGGUGCGAGCGUUAAUCGGAAUUACUGGACGUAAAGCGUGCGUAGGCGGUUCGUUAUGUCUGCUGUGAAAUCCCCGGGCUCAACCUGGGAAUGGCAGUGGAAACUGGCGGGCUUGAGUGUGGCAGAGGGGGGUGGAAUUCCGCGUGUAGCAGUGAAAUGCGUAGAGAUGCGGAGGAACACCGAUGGCGAAGGCAGCCCCCCUGGGCUAACACUGACGCUGAGGCACGAAAGCGUGGGGAGCAAACAGG